GGGCAAGCAGACCCCGGGGUGAGGGCAGCUGCUGCCAAGCAUCCCCUGGCCCCGGGGUGGGCACUGCCGGCGCCCAGGGCUUUGGGAGGUGAAGGGGUGGCUAGCAGGGUGCUGGAAGUGCAAGGGUCCCAGUGGAGCAGGGGGCUGUGCACAGCUCCUGCUGGGAAAGAAGAGCCUGGGAAACUGAAGAUGUGUGUGUGGGGAAGCUUGUAACCCUGGUCACCCCCUUCUCCCACUUCAAAUGAGGAUGGAGAAAAACUUGCAAGUGGAGGAGAGCAGCUCUUUCUAGCAGCCUGCAACCGUUUUUGAAAAUACAUCUGGUGAGCAAGUGAGACAAGAUUUCUUCUGUGACAAGUGUCUCCCUCUGGAAUAGUUUCAUCAGACUCAGCUGUGUGCUGAAGAGUUUAACAAAGAGUGGACGUGUCGGUGUUUUGAGGAUACAGUGGGAGUCCGUGGAGCUGACUUCAGAGCUGAAUGAGCUGAAAGGAGGUCUUGGCCAUAACUCUGGAGCAGGCGCAGGAUCCACUGGCUGAUCUGAGAUGUUCUUCAGUGCAGCGUGAAUACUUUUGUGCUGUGAACUCAGCGUGGGUCUGACGAGUGCUGUAGCCAAAACCAGCUAAUCAGAGGAGCACCAAUAGAGCCAAUUACCACUCAGGCUGCGCUUUCAGCCACUCAUGCAUGUGCCACAGUUAUUCACUCACUUCCUCCGCUUAGAUAGACUUGUAGACUUUGAGACAGGCUUGUGGUUUUCCCAGGCAGGAGCUCUUCCUUUUCUUCUGCACAUCUUUACAGAUAUUUGAACCAAAGGUUUGUCCAGCCUGUGUCAUUUUCUUUGCUGUUUCUGUGGCGAUGCGGGUGAUUUAAGCCUUUUAAUAAAACAUAGUUCUGU